UCAGAGAUUCCAUCAUUUCUGGAAUGCCUUUGCUUUAUAGGGGCUUCCUUUGGUCAUGUCAUUUUGUACAACAAAGAAUCAUGUACUGUUGUUCAUGUUUUCAGACAUGUUAUUGUCUUGCCUCCACAAUUACCAGUCUUAAAAUGUGGCGAGCUCAACUAUGGCGCCCUCACUGCUUCUCUGACAUCACUGAACUCACAUCUCAUUGUCGAAACUGGACCGCACAAUCUGUUUUGGCGGGUUGGUGGCCACUCUUGGGUGAGAUGUUCUGCGCCGUAUGGCACAAUCAAUCAAAUCAUGGUCUUCAAAGGGCGAGUGUUUGGCAUGGAUUCUGAUAGCAGGAUCUUCAAAAUUCACUUGACACCCGAGAUAAGCAUGCAAGAACUCCCAGUUAUGGAGUCAGCCAUGAUCAGCAAAUGGCAUCUUUCUAACGCAUGGCUGGUGGCAUGCGGAGAUACACUUCUCUUGGUCGGCUUUCAGGGACCUCUUAAGGUGUUGGGGGUAACCCUCAUAGUCUUCCGCCUUGACCUAUCAUCUGAGGCUGCAUGAUGGGUAAAGGUGGAGAAGCUAGAGAAUUGGGAGAUAUUCAUCAGCACUGACAAGAGAACCCAGCCAUUGUCUUGCCUUAACCCGGAGAUAUGGGGAGGGAGGAGCAACUGCAUAUACUGCUAUUACCAUGAGGCUGAAAAUUGGGUUUCAGUUGAAGUGGGCAAGCCGUUGCAGGGAGAUGGCUCUAAACUCAAUCCAAACGUCUUCAUUUUCAUGGGCUGUGACAGCAGGGUGCAACCUAUGCGGGUUGUCCCCAGCACGCUCUCUUGGCGUCGGUGA
rnacentral:rRNA from 1 species